CCUGAAAGCGCUACAAAAUCAAAAGGACCAAUGGCGCAAAUAAUCCAAGAGCCAAAAACACGCGGAUCCUCCCCCAGGGUCGGGUCACCGCACGGGUCAGGGCCAAAACGGCGUCGUUUUGGCCACUGACCCUAAAUGGUAAAACGACGCCGUUUGGUUUGGGUAUUUAAACCCAUUUUUUUUCAAAAAUUCAUUCCAGCCACCGAAAGAGAAAAAAAACAAAAAAAAGGGUCCUCCCUCUUCCUCUCAAGCGCCUGGCCUUUGGGUUCUAAGGCCCCCGUUGCGCCGCCGCUCGGCUCGCCGCACCGCCAUCGCCCCGGUGAGUUUUUUCCUCUUUUUCUUUAUGUAUUAAAUAUAUGUAUAUAAAUGCACAACAAAAACGAAAAUAAAAAAAGAAUUACAAC
rnacentral:lncRNA from 1 species